UAAGGAUCCUUCAUGGACUUUAACACUGACCUCUGCUUAGGCUAAAGGAGGCAAAUUGCCUCAAAAUAUGGUGGACACAACCUGAACACUUCUGAUGGUCAUUUCAGCUGAAACCUGGGAAAUGGUUUGACUGUCCCCUCCCCCCACUUUACAGAGGCCCAACAAGGCAAAAUACCCUGACACAAGGGGACACAGUCUCAACACUUCUGAUGGUCAUUUCAGCUGAAACCUAGGAAAUGGUUUUACUGUCUCACCACUUCACAGAGGAGUUCAUUGGAACGUUCAAAUGCUGAGAAUUGAUGUGUACUGACCUCUGCAACGUAAUUUGAAAUGCACUGGAAAAAUAAGACAGAUGAGUAGGAAGACAGAGCCCUGGAUACAGAUCAGAGACAAGCAAAUGCGUCGAGGGCUCAGCUGGGCCUGGCCGUGUGCUCUGCACUGUUACUGCAGCUCUUCUGUGGGUUGAAGAUGGUCCUGAGACACCACAGACUGAGCGGGGAUGCAGCCAGCUCUGGGGGCAGGUCAAGACCUCCACUCCAGCCUGUCCUGUUUUUCCCCUGAACAAACCCCCACAGGUGCUGUGGACCCCACCCCACUCCAACCAAAGCCAUCCAGACGCGGGAAACUACAAAUCCUAUCACCUCGGAAGGGAGGAUGCUGGGGCCUGAGGGUGGAGCUAAGCAUCCUGGUUUGGUAUAAACCAGACAUGUGGACCUUGGGGACCCUGUUUGUGGUCCUGGGUGGCCUCUUGCUCUCUAGGAUUUUGUCUCUCAACCUCUCGGCCUUUUGGCUGGACCCUCAGCUUUCAGAGAAUCUCACAGUGCAACUGGGAUUCCAGGUCAACGGAACUGGUAAGACACAUUUACCAAUUUAUUUCCCUUUCUUUCUCCCUGAAAUAUUCAUUUCUUCACUUCUUUUUCUUUUGUAAAUAAGCCCUUCACUGACCUUUUUGUGUGAGCUGUAGUUUAUUAUUAUAAGUCACUCAAGUGCACAAUGAGGACCCACAGUCAGGCCCUGUUUCAGAUCGAGGCUGCCUGUAACACUUCAAAGCCUCAGAGGCACACUUUUUUCUGAGUCAUAUGGUCGAUGGAGAUGACCACUAAGCUGUUCCAUGAGCCUGUGAGCCAGGCAGAAAUCUCAGUCUGACUGGAGUAUCAGUGUCUCCUCAUUGUCAGCUCCCAAAAUGCUCACCUGUCUG